CCAAAGUGCCCAGCAGCUGCUCAAGCGACCACCACAGGGUGGGAGGGAGGCCUGGUCGGUUCACCCCUCACCUUCCCUCGCCCCCCCCUAAAGGAAGGUGCCCUCUCUCCUACCCCCAUCUCUUUUAUCACCACUCUCAGAAGAGAAUUCACAUUACAUUAAAGCAGACCUUGUGAGGCAAUGCUGAAGCAGUCCACUGAAAUUAUUAGAGCCACAUGGAAUCAAAAGUAAGCUGCUGUGGAGAACCAGGAUGAAAACACAGAACCCUGUAUGAUCAGCUUGGAUCAUAAGAGCCCUCCUAGAUCACAGCAAAGUUCCAACAUGUCCAGCCUUCUGUUGCCUACAGGCUACUCUUUUCAGAAAUUAGCAUCAACUGCUUCUCACAAUUCAGGUUUCAAAAGAACAGCAAAAAUAUGCAGACAGUGUGAAUUAAUGCUAAGAAGCUGAGCCCCUUGUUUCACGAAAGAGGAUCAGCCCAGAAGGACAAUGAUGUCAUUGACGAUGUCAAUUGCAAAGAUUUAUUACUAAUAAGUUUUUGGAACAUCAAAAUAUAUCCCCACAAAAGAAAUCAGACUAAAUCUCUUUAGGUUGCAAAUCCCAGAUCUUGUUUAUUUAUAAAGCAAUAAAUAUUCAAAGAAGCACAAAUAAAUUGCAUGGUGUGUGUGUAAACAAACUGUACAAUAACUGAACCAAGUUCAGGAAGGAGAGCUGGAAAAAAAAGA